GCCCGGGUGGCGGAAUGGUAGACGCUCGGCCCUCAAAAGGCCGUGUCCUUCGGGGCGUGUGGGUUCGAGUCCCACCCCGGGUA
rnacentral:tRNA from 1 species